rnacentral:rRNA from 1 species
UGCAGUCGAACGGAUCUUCGGAUUUAGUGGCGGACGGGUGAGUAACGCGUGAGAAUCUGGCUCCAGGUCGGGGACAACAGUUGGAAACGACUGCUAAUACCGGAUGUGCCGAGAGGUAAAAGAUUUAUUGCCUGGAGAUGAGCUCGCGUCUGAUUAGCUAGUUGGUGUGGUAAGAGCGCACCAAGGCGACGAUCAGUAGCUGGUCUGAGAGGAUGAUCAGCCACACUGGGACUGAGACACGGCCCACACUCCUACGGGAGGCAGCAGUGGGGAAUUUUCCGCAAUGGGCGAAAGCCUGACGGAGCAAUACCGCGUGAGGGAGGAAGGCUCUUGGGUUGUAAACCUCUUUUCUCAGGGAAUAAAAAAAUGAAGGUACCUGAGGAAUAAGCAUCGGCUAACUCCGUGCCAGCAGCCGCGGUAAUACGGAGGAUGCAAGCGUUAUCCGGAAUGAUUGGGCGUAAAGGGUCCGCAGGUGGCAAUGUGUGUCUGCUGUCAAAGAAUGAGGCUUAACCUCAUCAAGGCAGUGGAAACUACAUAGCUAGAGUACGGUCGGGGUAGAAGGAAUUCCUGGUGUAGCGGUGAAAUGCGUAGAGAUCAGGAAGAACACCGGUGGCGAAAGCGUUCUGCUAGACCUGUACUGACACUGAGGGACGAAAGCUAGGGGAGCGAAUGGGAUUAGAUACCCCAGUAGUCCUAGCCGUAAACGAUGGAUACUAGGCGUGGCUUGUAUCGACCCGAGCCGUGCCGGAGCCAACGCGUUAAGUAUCCCGCCUGGGGAGUACGCACGCAAGUGUGAAACUCAAAGGAAUUGACGGGGGCCCGCACAAGCGGUGGAGUAUGUGGUUUAAUUCGAUGCAACGCGAAGAACCUUACCAAGACUUGACAUGUCGCGAAUCUGCCUGAAAGGGGAGAGUGCCUUCGGGAGCGCGAACACAGGUGGUGCAUGGCUGUCGUCAGCUCGUGUCGUGAGAUGUUGGGUUAAGUCCCGCAACGAGCGCAACCCUCGUUUUUAGUUGCCAGCAUUAAGUUGGGCACUCUAGAGAGACUGCCGGUGACAAACCGGAGGAAGGUGGGGAUGACGUCAAGUCAGCAUGCCCCUUACGUCUUGGGCUACACACGUACUACAAUGCUACGGACAGAGGGCAGCUAAACAGCGAUGUCAAGCAAAUCCCGUAAACCGUAGCUCAGUUCAGAUCGCAGGCUGCAACUCGCCUGCGUGAAGGAGGAAUCGCUAGUAAUUGCAGGUCAGCAUACUGCAGUGAAUUCGUUCCCGGGCCUUGUACACACCGCCCGUCACACCAUGGAAGCUGGCAACGCCCGAAGUCAUUACUCCAGCCGUAAGGGGGAGGAUGCCUAAGGCAGUGUUGGUGAAUGGGGUGAAGUCGUAACAAGGUAGCCGUACCGGAAGGUGUGGCUGGAUCACCUCCUUUUUAGGGAGACCUACCCAACUCAGGUAUAGAAAGCAAAAAGCAAAUAGAUAUUGAGAUGGUCUACUCUAGGUCGGUCGUGGGAAUUGUUGAAGCUUUCAAACUA